rnacentral:rRNA from 1 species
CAUAGCUCCUCGAAAUAAAAUGAAGAGUAAAGCCUGCCCAAUGGAAACCCUAAAUGGCCGCGGUAUCUUGACCGUGCAAAGGUAGCAUAAUCAUUUGUCUUUUAAAUGAAGACUUGUAUGAACGGCACAACAUUUUCCAACUGUCUCUUUUCCUCCCUCUCUAAACUCCUAAUAAUGUGAAGAAGCAUUAAUAAAAAAGAAAGACGAGAAGACCCUGUCGAGCUUAAAUUUUUAACAGAACAAAUAUCCUUUUUAUAAAACAGAAAAUUCUUACAUAAAAUUUUGGUUGGGGCAACCAUGGAGAAAAAUUAACCUCCAACAAAAAAAAAGAACAAUAAAUCAUUAAAAAAAAUCAAUCCAUACUUCUACCAAUGAAAAUAAAAAAGUUACCGCAGGGAUAACAGCGUCAUCUCCUUUCAGAGUCCAAAUUGACAAGGAGGAUUGCGACCUCGAUGUUGGAUUAGGGUAACCUAAGGGUGCAGAAGCUCUUAAAGGUUGGACUGUUCGUCCAAUAAUCCCCCACGUGAUC